AGCAGUGAGGAAUAUUGGGCAAUGCCCGAAAGGGUGACCCAGCAACGCCGCGUGGAGGAUGAAGGUCGUAAGAUUGUAAACUCCUGUUAGAGGGGACGAAUAACACCGAUCGACUCGGUGCUUGACUGUACCCUCAGAGAAAGCCCCGGCUAACUACGUGCCAGCAGCCGCGGUAAUACGUAGGGGGCAAGCGUUGUCCGGAUUCACUGGGUGUAAAGGGCGCGCAGGCGGGUUAGCAAGUCAGAGGUGAAAUCCUACAGCUUAACUGUAGAACUGCCUUUGAAACUGUUAAUCUUGAGUGCGGAAGAGAGAGACGGAAUUCCAGGUGUAGCGGUGAAAUGCGUAGAUAUCUGGAAGAACACCAGUUGCGAAGGCGGUCUCUUGGUCCGUUACUGACGCUCAGGCGCGAAAGCGUGGGGAGCAAACAGGAUUAGAUACCCUGGUAGUCCACGCCCUAAACGAUGAAUACUAGGUGUUGGUCUUUUUUAGAUCAGUGCCGUAGCUAACGCAUA
rnacentral:rRNA from 1 species